rnacentral:rRNA from 1 species
GACGAACGCUGGCGGCGUGCUUAACACAUGCGAGUCGAACGGAAAGGCCCUGCUUUUGUGGGGUGCUCGAGUGGCGCACGGGUGAGUAACACGUGAGUAACCUGCCCUUGACUUUGGGAUAACUUCAGGAAACUGGGGCUAAUACCGGAUAGGAGCUCCUGCUGCAUGGUGGGGGUUGGAAAGUUUCGGCGGUUGGGGAUGGACUCGCGGCUUAUCAGCUUGUUGGUGGGGUAGUGGCUGUCCAAGGCUUUGACGGGUAGCCGGCCUGAGAGGGGGACCGGCCACAUGGGGACUAAGGUACGGCCCAGAAUGCUACGGGAGGCAGCGGGGGGGAAUAUGGCGCAGUGGGCGGAAGCCUGAGGCAGCAGCGCCGCGUGCGGGAUGACGGCCUUCGGGUGGAAAACCACUUUCGCCUGUGACGAAGCGUGAGUGACGGUAAUGGGGAAAGAAGCACCGGCUAACUACGU